rnacentral:rRNA from 1 species
AAUCCUCUAGGCCGAAUAUCCAAGGUUUCCAGGGUAAAGCUGAUCUGCCCUGGGUGAGUCGGGACCUAAGGUGAGGGCGAGAGCCGUAGCCGAUGGACAACAGGUUGAUAUUCCUGUACUGCAGUAUGACAGAACUGUGGGGACACGUAAGGAGAGCGGGAGCCGGGAAUGGAAAGCCCGGUACAAGCGAGGUACCAGUAUGGUAGGAAAAUCCGCCAUGCAAUGGGAAGACGUGAUGUGGAGUGAAUUUUAGUAACGAAGCCCGUGAGCCAUGCGUCAAGAAAAGCCGCUAUCGUUCAUAUUGUACCCGUACCGUAAACCGACACAGGUGGAUGAGGAGAGAAUCCUAAGGCCGGCGGAAGAAGUAUUGCCAAGGAACUCGGCAAAAUGGCCCCGUAACUUAGGGAGAAGGGGUGCCUGCGAGAGCAGGCCGCAGAGAAUAGGCUCAAGCAACUGUUUAGCAAAAACACAGGUCUAUGCGAAACCGAAAGGUGAGGUAUAUGGGCUGACGCCUGCCCGGUGCUGGAAGGUUAAGAGGAGAGGUUAGCGCAAGCGAAGCUUUGAAUUUAAGCCCCAGUAAACGGCGGCCGUAACUAUAACGGUCCUAAGGUAGCGAAAUUCCUUGUCGGGUAAGUUCCGACCCGCACGAAAGGCGUAAUGAUUUGAGCGCUGUCUCGGCAAUACAUCCGGUGAAAUUGAAGUGCCAGUGAAGAUGCUGGCUACCCGCGCCAGGACGGAAAGACCCCAUGGAGCUUUACUCCAGUUUGGCACUGGGGUCCGGUGUUGCAUGUACAGGAUAGGUGGGAGGCUGAGAAACGGUAACGUCAGUUGCCGCGGAGCCGCUGUUGGGAUACCACCCUUGUGAUAUUGGGCUUCUAACCAGCCGCCGUAAACCGGCGGUGGGACAAUGCCAGGCGGGGAGUUUGACUGGGGCGGUCGCCUCCGAAAGGGUAUCGGAGGCGCCCAAAGGUUCCCUCAGAAUGGACGGAAACCAUUCGAAGAGUGCAAAGGCAGAAGGGAGCUUGACUGCGACACCGACGGGUGGAGCAGGUACGAAAGUAGGACUUAGUGAUCCGGUGGUAUAAAGUGGGAUUGCCAUCGCUCAACGGAUAAAAGCUACCCUGGGGAUAACAGGCUUAUCACUCCCAAGAGUUCACAUCGACGGAGUGGUUUGGCACCUCGAUGUCGGCUCAUCGCAUCCUGGGGCUGUAGUAGGUCCCAAGGGUUGGGCUGUUCGCCCAUUAAAGCGGUACGCGAGCUGGGUUCAGAACGUCGUGAGACAGUUCGGUCCCUAUCCGGCGUGGGCGUAGGAUAUUUGAGAGGAGCUGUCCUUAGUACGAGAGGACCGGGAUGGACGGGCCGCUGGUGUACCUGUUGCAGUGCCAACUGCAUGGCAGGGUAGCCAAGCCUGGAAGGGAUAAACGCUGAAGGCAUCUAAGCGUGAAGCCCCCCUCAAGAUGAGAUAUCCCAUUCGAAAGAAGUAAGACCCCUUGAAGACGACGAGGUAGAUAGGGCAGAGGUGGAAGUGCAGCAAUGUAUGGAGCUGACUGCUACUAAUCGGUCGAGGGCUUGACCUA